GGCCACUGCUAUCGGAGUCCGACUAAGCCAUGCGAGUCCAGGUGCUUCGGCACCGGCGGACGGCUCAGUAACACGUGGACAACCUACCCUCGGGAGGGGGAUAACCCCGGGAAACUGGGAAUAAACCCCCAUAGGUCAUGGAUGCUGGAAGGCGCCAUGACCGAAAUUCCGAAAGGAGCCCGAGGAUGGGUCUGCGGCCUAUCAGGUCGUAGUGGGGGUAACGGCCCCACUAGCCUACGACGGGUACGGGCCCUGAGAGGGGGAGCCCGGAGAUGGACUCUGAGACACGAGUCCAGGCCCUACGGGGCGCAGCAGGCGCGAAAACUCCGCAAUGCUCGAAAGAGCGACGGGGGGACUCCGAGUGCCUACGCUUUGCGUAGGCUUUUCCCGAGCCUAAAAAGCUCGGGGAAUAAGGGCUGGGUAAGACGGGUGCCAGCCGCCGCGGUAAUACCCGCAGCUCGAGUGGUGGCCGCUUUUAUUGGGCCUAAAGCGUCCGUAGCCGGUCUGGUAAAUGCCUGGGUAAAUCGUCUGGCUCAACCAGACGGCUCCCAGGUAGACUGCCAGACUUGGGACCGGAGGAGGGAGAGGGUACUCCAGGGGUAGGGGUGAAAUCCUGUAAUCCCUGGAGGACCACCGGUGGCGAAGGCGCUCUCCUAGGACGGGUCCGACGGUGAGGGACGAAAGCCAGGGGAGCAAACCGGAUUAGAUACCCGGGUAGUCCUGGCCGUAAACGAUGUGGACUUGGUAUUGGGAUGGCUACGAGCUGUCCCAGUAUCGUAGGGAAGCCGUUAAGUCCACCGCCUGGGGAGUACGGUCGCAAGGCUGAAACUUAAAGGAAUUGGCGGGGGAGCACUGCAACGGGAGGAGCGUGCGGUUU
rnacentral:rRNA from 1 species